rnacentral:rRNA from 1 species
CGUAGGGCGCGAGCGUUGUCCGGAAUUAUUGGGCGUAAAGAGCUCGUAGGCGGCUGGUCGCGUCUGCCGUGAAAGGCCUGGGCUUAACUUGGGUUUUGCGGUGGAUACGGGCCGGCUAGAGGUAGGUAGGGGAGAACGGAAUUCCUGGUGUAGCGGUGAAAUGCGCAGAUAUCAGGAGGAACACCGGUGGCGAAGGCGGUUCUCUGGGCCUAUCCUGACGCUGAGGAGCGAAAGCGUGGGGAGCGAACAGGAUU